ACUCUGGUAUUGAUUGGUGCUUGCAUCAUGAUUUACAUUUGAGUGAGUGGCGAACUGGUGAGUAACACGUGGGAAACCUGCCCAGAAGCGGGGGAUAACACCUGGAAACAGAUGCUAAUACCGCAUAACAACUUGGACCGCAUGGUCCGAGUUUGAAAGAUGGCUUCGGCUAUCACUUUUGGAUGGUCCCGCGGCGUAUUAGCUAGAUGGUGNGGUAACGGCUCACCAUGGCAAUGAUACGUAGCCGACCUGAGAGGGUAAUCGGCCACAUUGGGACUGAGACACGGCCCAAACUCCUACGGGAGGCAGCAGUAGGGAAUCUUCCACAAUGGACGAAAGUCUGAUGGAGCAACGCCGCGUGAGUGAAGAAGGGUUUCGGCUCGUAAAACUCUGUUGUUAAAGAAGAACAUAUCUGAGAGUAACUGUUCAGGUAUUGACGGUAUUUAACCAGAAAGUCACGGCUAACUACGUGCCAGCAGCCGCGGUAAUACGUAGGUGGCAAGCGUUGUCCGGAUUUAUUGGGCGUAAAGCGAGCGCAGGCGGUUUUUUAAGUCUGAUGUGAAAGCCUUCGGCUCAACCGAAGAAGUGCAUCGGAAACUGGGAAACUUGAGUGCAGAAGAGGACAGUGGAACUCCAUGUGUAGCGGUGAAAUGCGUAGAUAUAUGGAAGAACACCAGUGGCGAAGGCGGCUGUCUGGUCUGUAACUGACGCUGAGGCUCGAAAGUAUGGGUAGCAAACAGGAUUAGAUACCCUGGUAGUCCAUACCGUAAACGAUGAAUGCUAAGUGUUGGAGGGUUUCCGCCCUUCAGUGCUGCAGCUAACGCAUUAAGCAUUCCGCCUGGGGAGUACGGCCGCAAGGCUGAAACUCAAAGGAAUUGACGGGGGCCCGCACAAGCGGUGGAGCAUGUGGUUUAAUUCGAAGCUACGCGAAGAACCUUACCAGGUCUUGACAUACUAUGCAAAUCUAAGAGAUUAGACGUUCCCUUCGGGGACAUGGAUACAGGUGGUGCAUGGUUGUCGUCAGCUCGUGUCGUGAGAUGUUGGGUUAAGUCCCGCAACGAGCGCAACCCUUAUUAUCAGUUGCCAGCAUUAAGUUGGGCACUCUGGUGAGACUGCCGGUGACAAACCGGAGGAAGGUGGGGAUGACGUCAAAUCAUCAUGCCCCUUAUGACCUGGGCUACACACGUGCUACAAUGGAUGGUACAACGAGUUGCGAACUCGCGAGAGUAAGCUAAUCUCUUAAAGCCAUUCUCAGUUCGGAUUGUAGGCUGCAACUCGCCUACAUGAAGUCGGAAUCGCUAGUAAUCGCGGAUCAGCAUGCCGCGGUGAAUACGUUCCCGGGCCUUGUACACACCGCCCGUCACACCAUGAGAGUUUGUAACACCCAAAGUCGGUGGGGUAACCUUUUAGGAACCAGCCGCCUAA
rnacentral:rRNA from 1 species